AAUACGACUAUGAAGGGGAGAGUAACUAAUAGUCUUAAGUCAUAGCGAGCUGGGGAUGGUGUAAGCCCAGUACUUAAUUAUUAGUGAAGCGCACCCCUGAGUCUAAAGGCUGAACUAGUAGUAGGUCUUUGCGGCAGGCCACCGAUAUCGGCUAAACGAGUGAAUCGAUAUGAUCGAUUAACUAGGGUGGUACCGCGAGAUAACCUCUUCGUCCCUUUA
rnacentral:ncRNA from 1 species